AUGGCUCAUUAUAUAAGUUAUCGUUUAUUUGAUAGUACCUUCCUACUUGGAUAACUGUGGUAAUUCUAGAGCUAAUACAUGCUAAAAAUCCCGACUCCGGAAGGGAUGUAUUUAUUAGAUUAAAAACCAAUGCCCCCUGGGCUCUCUGGUGAUUCAUGAUAACUCCUCGAAUCGCAUGGCCUUGUGCUGGCGAUGGUUCAUUCAAAUUUCUUCCCUAUCAACUUUCGAUGUUUGGGUAGUGGCCAAACAUGGUUGCAACGGGUAACGGAGGGUUAGGGCUCGACCCCGGAGAAGGAGCCUGAGAAACGGCUACUACAUCCAAGGAAGGCAGCAGGCGCGCAAAUUACCCAAUCCCGACUCGGGGAGGUAGUGACAAUAAAUACUGAUACAGGGCUCUUUUGGGUCUUGUAAUCGGAAUGAGUACAAUUUAAAUCCCUUAACGAGGAACAAUUGGAGGGCAAGUCUGGUGCCAGCAGCCGCGGUAAUUCCAGCUCCAAUAGCGUAUAUUAAAGUUGUUGUGGUUAAAAAGCUCGUAGUUGAACCUUGGGCCUGGCUGGCCGGUCCGCCUCACCGCGUGUACUGGUCCGGCCGGGCCUUUCCCUCUGUGGAACCCCAUGCCCUUCACUGGGUGUGGCGGGGAAACAGGACGUUUACUUUGAAAAAAUUAGAGUGCUCCAGGCAGGCCUAUGCUCGAAUACAUUAGCAUGGAAUAAUGAAAUAGGACGUGCGGUUCUAUUUUGUUGGUUUCUAGGACCGCCGUAAUGAUUAAUAGGGACAGUCGGGGGCAUCAGUAUUCAAUUGUCAGAGGUGAAAUUCUUGGAUUUAUUGAAGACUAACUACUGCGAAAGCAUUUGCCAAGGAUGUUUUCAUUAAUCAGGAACGAAAGUUAGGGGAUCGAAGACGAUCAGAUACCGUCGUAGUCUUAACCAUAAACUAUGCCGACUAGGGAUCGGACGAUGUUAAUUUUUGACUCGUUCGGCACCUUGCGAG
rnacentral:rRNA from 1 species